rnacentral:rRNA from 1 species
GACGAACGCUGGCGGCGUGCUUAACACAUGCAAGUCGAACGGAAAGGCCCUUCUUUUGUGGGGUUCUCGAGUGGCGAACGGGUGAGUAACACGUGAGUAACCUGCCCUUGACUUUGGGAUAACUUCAGGAAACUGGGUCUAAUACCGGAUAGGAGCUCCUGCUGCAUGGUGUGGUGGGGAGAAUUUCGGCGUUUGGGGAUGGACUCGCGGCUUAUCAUCUUGUUGGUGGGGUAGUGGCUCACCAAGGCUUUGACGGGUAGCCGGCCUGGGCGGGUGAACGGCCACAUUGGGACUGAGAGACGGCCCAGACUCCUACGGGAGGCAGCAGUGGGGAAUAUUGCACAAUGGGCGGAAGCCUGAUGCAGCAACGCCGCGUGCGGGAUGACGGCCUUCGGGUUGUAAACCGCUUUCGCCUGUGACGAAGCGUGAGUGACGGUAACGGGUAAAGAAGCACCGGCUAACUACGUG